rnacentral:lncRNA from 1 species
GGACUACUAAAGGCACACAACUUUGUGUCAAAUCCCACACAUACAAUGCAUUUCAAAGCAUACACACAAUAUGCACAAUAUGUGUAUACAACAUGGCAUCACAACACAACUCUAUGACUCAAGCAUUUAUUAAAAACUCAUAAGAGUCAACAUAGUGUGAUAUUACAAACAUGGGCCCCAUGACCCAACAAUCAAGUCAUACAAGCAUGAAGCGGAAGCACAACAUGUCUGAGUACAAACAUCUAGAAAAUGUGGCUGGAGGAGAUUGAAAAUCUACAACGACUCUACCAAAGGAGCCACACCUUUGUCUGGGAUUCCCAAGCUAAUCCGGUCAACAUUGAACUUUGUGUAGAAAACCAAUAGUGAGACUAAAGUAUCCUCUGCAAAAACAUAAUUUAAGCAACAGUGAGUACAAAGGUACUCAGCAAGACUUACAUUAGAACUAUCUACAUAUGCAUCAUUAUCAACAAAGGGGGUUGUCGAGUUUAUUGCAGCAAGCCAGCUAUGACUCUUGUCUAACCUUACUACGACCACAAGCCCUUUAUUUUAGGUGGGAUAGCGCACACGAGUCCACAUAUUCACCAAAUCAAUACAACACUAUGGUCCACUUCUAUCUCCCUACAAGAAGGCCAUCCAUAGCACUCACACUUAUCUUGCGUAUUUUAGAGUAUCCAUUUCAAGUUGCCUAUGUACCACAUAAGUUCAACAAGUAGUCCAUAUCCGAGGAUACGGCUAUUCAAACAAAUUAAUUCAUCCUGGAGGGGUAUACUUAUUCACACACACUCUCACCACUUAUCACCAUAUGCACGUCAUGCAUCUCCGCAACCUUCAAGCGGAAGCACUGGAGUGGGCGUCGGCCACGACCGUUAACCACACAAGACCUUAGUCCAGGUUUAUCACCUAUUUAAGACUAACCUGCAAGGGAUUCCGGUCGAAGUUUCAUCUAUGACCUCUAACGAUGUGCCCAGGGUUCCACAAGCCCACUGUUCGGGUUCCACUUGGUACACCGUGCCACUGUGUAUCUACCGCACUUAAGCCUACCCUGUCGGGAAGAGCUAAACACGUCCGCCAACACUUUUCCUACAAACACGAGAAACUAGCUGCAACUCCUGGACAGAGAUCUAUGCGAUUAAUAAGUCGAGAUGGGUUGAGUUACCGGAACCCAAUGAGUUACGGGAACCCAAUGUGUAACAUACACAGAACUCAGUUGCUAAGGAUGGUCCCAAUGAGACAACCCUCCAUGUACUCCUACAUGGGCUCUCAUUGCUACCCUUACCAAAUUGGACACACACACUUUACUCUCACAGGGUAGGACAUGAACACAACCAUUCUGAUUCAUCAUCUACAUGGAUGAGACUCGACACUACUCUAAGCAUAGUAGGAAGAGUAAGCAAGCAUGAAUGAGUAGGCACGUCAUGGCUCAAGAAGUUGCUACUCAUGCUAAGUGGUUUCUAUAUUAAUUUUGACAAAGACAUGUCAUGCACAGGAAUGGGUUCAACACCGAGAACAUGUAAUAGUUGAAUCGUGAUUGUCCUAAUGCAGUAAAAGUGAGCAGUACCGAGAGAGUGGGUUUAUAUCAAUAUUCUCAAGGGGGGUUUGCUUGCGUGCUCCUUAUGAAGAUAACAAUGAGUCUUCAUUGGUGACAUCGAUCUCAACGUCAGAACAACGUCUACUAAGGCUGAACAAACACCGACAACAGAAAAGGAACAAUAUCUAAUUCAUGGAAAUGCAACAUUAUGAUGCAUGAGCAUGACAUGGAAAUAUGAUGUUGUUUGAGCUAAUGCAUCUACCAAGAAGAUUAAAUGAAGUUGGUUUGAACCAAAGGUUCAAAUUCAAACUCCAUAUGUGGUUAUUUAAAUGUCAUUUAGAUGAAUUGUCCUAAACACAGGGCAUAAAUUGUUCUAACAUGCAUGAAAAUGACAUAAACAGAUUCAUUGGAUUUUUUUAAUAAUGUUUCAUAUAUAAUUUAUUUUCAUUCGAAUUAUAGAUUAGUUUCUAUGAAUUUCCUAACUUUUAAAUAUUUUCUGAAAUUAAUAACUCAUUUCUAAUUCAAUUUUAUUACAGAAAAUCAUUAAUAUGUUAGCAGGUCAACAAGCUGGUACAGGUCAAAACUGACCAGUGGCGCCAACUAGUUAGUGACCCAUCUAGUCAACAAGGUUAAUUAGCAUUAUUUUAACACUAAACUAAUUUUGCCAAUUGCCGGGCCCACAGGUCAUCGACACAGGGCACCAACUAAGCCCGAUUAGCACCUAAACUAACCAUGCCACAUCUGGCACCGGCGAUUAGCCACCGGCGACCUUAGAUCACGGUGGUGUCCACGUCGGGAUUUCCCUACAGGUCACUGUUCGACGUGCGGGACGACGUGUUCGAACGAGGGAAAAAUUCCACAUCCAUUGGUGGCCUUGGUUGGAGCGGGGGUCGGCGGAGUCGAUGGUGGUGACCGAGCCAGCGGUGGCCAGAUCUCGGGCUCAGGUGUUGCAAGGCUAUGGUGCACGGCUCAGAGUGUUGAUGUGUUCCACAACCUCGUCUAGGAACGAGGAACACGGUGGGGGUAAUCGGACAUGUCAUGCACGGGCUCUAGCCAUGACGGCGUCAUGGCUGGUGGCGUGGAUCUCUCAGGAAAGGCGGUGCUUGCGGCUACUUAGUGAAAACAAGCACAUGGGUAGGGGGAAGGAAACUGAGGGCUCACGACAAAUUCGAGGAGGUGGUCAUUGAGCUCGUGGAAGACCGGAGGGAGGUGAAUCAGGCUCGGCGACCGGCGGAUGUAGAGGAGAUAGAUGAGCUCGAAGGCGACGAUUCUAGCUGUUUGUGCUUGAUUCCCUUGUCUUGGUGGUGUUGGGAUCAGUGGAGGAUCUUCCGGACUCGCUCGCGGGGCUGAAUAUGGCCGGUAGAUGUGGUGGCUGCGAGCGGCGGCGAGGAAUGCUUUUGGUCCUGUGCUUGAGAGAGAGACAUGGGAGAGGAUGAGCAUGGAGAGGAGAGCGAGACGUCUACGGGGUCGCGUGGCGUCCAGGGCGAGCAGGCACGCUG